rnacentral:tRNA from 1 species
GCUUAAUUGGUAAAGCACAAGGCUCUUAACCUUGUGGACGUGGAUUCAAGUCUCAU